GAAGAAACACGUGUCCCACUAACUCUUUGAGAUGUAGUCUUUUCAACUUCCAAAGACUCCCUAUAAAUAAUUCAUGUUCUCCAUUCUUUCAUUUUCGUUUAUGUAACUUUGAAAUCCUUAGAAAUUUUCAGAGCAAACCCAUUUCACUCUUCCACAAACUUCAACAAAACCCAUGUUCUCCAACAAUGUCACAAACUAAAAAGCAACAAAAAUAUAAGAACAUGAAGGAAGCAGGAACUUCAAAAGAUUCCACUCCUCAAAUUGGACUUGUUAGUAAGAUCGUGACUUCUGGGAAUCAAGAGUUCAUAUCAACUCCAAUGUUUACUGCAGAACAAAAAGCCAUAUAUGCUUCUUAGGUACUCAUUUCUUCUUUCUUUUAUGGUAAAACCCUAAGUUUAAGGGGCCUUUAAUUCAUGCAGGGAAUUUAGAAAAAAAAAUCAUAGAUUUUCCCAGUUUAUCAUGAAACGAAACCCAUACCUAACAAAAUCAGACCUCCUAAAUAUAAGGGCGAGGAUUCUGCGAGAAAACCAACUAAAACCCUUAAGGAGAAAACUUCUGAAGAGACUUCUUCAGUCUUUAAAACUGAAAGAGAAGUCUUCUAGUUAGAUUAUAUAACUGCUAAUUUUAGGACUUUUUUAUCAUUCCCCACAUUAGACAAACCUUACAUAGCUUGGUUUACCAAAGUCAAAAAGAAGAAAUCACAAAUUUGGAAAGAUUUAGGUAUUUUUGACUUAAUUCAAAUGUCAAAACUAGGCUUUAGCUAUUGCCAACCCCUUAUUGUUAGUAUCCUUGUAUUUAUGGGACAGUACCUACAAAAAUUUUAAUCUCCUUUGUGGGAUGAUAAUUCCUACCCUUUUUGACAUUGUUGCAAUCACUGGACUUCCUCCUACUAGAGGAGCAUUCAACCCUUAUUUGCAAUCAGAUAAUAUUAUUAUUUUCAAGUCAAGAAUGCCACCUUUACUGCAUACAUGAAUUUCUACCAUGUCGGAGGAGACAACAUUUCUGAUGUCAAACAUAUAACUUUAUUUGCUUUAUGGUUGUCCGAGUACAUUUUCUGCCGUAAAUCCCUGCAAGUAACAAGGAGAUUUUUGACUUUUGCGAACCAGCUACACUCUGGUCGAAAAAUCUGUCUAAGUGAACGGCUCUUAGCUUGGCUUUAUGAAAGCUUAAUGUCUGCUACUUCUAAACUAAAAAGAUAUGAAGAUGGCACUAAUCUGUUUCUUGCUGGCCCAUAUUGGCUCCUUCAGUUAUGGCUGAAUGUAGGGAAAUUUAGAGGGCGCAAAUAGUUAAAAUGACACUUUAUUUACAAAAUUUCCACCAUAUUUCUUAUUUACAUCUGUUUUUAGUAUAAGGCAUGUAAAUUUUAAAACUAUAUUCUUAUUUAAAUUAAAAUAUUAUGAAAAUGGAUGUUAAAAUACAAACACGGUAGAUCGUUUAAGUGAGAGAGAAUUUUUCUAUAAAUUUUAUCAAACAUCACCUUACACUAAUUCGUAAAUAUGUUUAUUAAAAAUAUUAUUCUUAUUUUGUGUGUUACCCAUUCAUAUUAUGAGAGGUUGAAAAUUAGUUAGUUAUAAUAUCUGACAUGUUUAUUUAGUGUGCUAAAGGGACAAACACUGUACAGUGGUUUAAGGAGAGGUCAGGCUUUAUAAAUUGUAAAUCGAUAGAAUAAUUUGUUACAUCCACAAAGCAAAAAAUAUGGCUUUAGUGUCCAAGUUUGUUUCCAUUAUGAUUAAUAUAUUUAUUUUCUUAUUUCUCCUUGCACCAAACAUUGAAGUGCUUGCAGGAUUGAAAGAUGCUGAUUGUUAUUUUCUUUUUUGUAAAAAAUCAUAUAAAGCAAUUGCUAUUGGUAAUCGAUGUAAAUGUGUUAGAAUCAUAGAAUAAGUUUGUGAAUGAUUUGGCAUUUAGUUUCAUACUUGAGAUUUAGCCCAAAUGUUCUCAAAUUUUCAUAAGUUGUCGUUUAAUAUUUGUGUUGUCAUCAAAUAAUUUGAAUUUUUCAUUUUUCUUGUUUCAUAUAAUAAAGUGAACUAAGGUAGAAAAUAAUAUCAAUUAGGUUGUAUAAAAAAAUAAUACCUUAAUUAAGCAUGUCAUUUUAUAUUGAUGUCAUAAUAGUGUUAAAGUGGUGAUCUUUCUCAUCAUUUUGUAUAUAAUUAUCUUACAUUAUUAUUAUAUUUA